rnacentral:rRNA from 1 species
UCCUCCCUCUGUCGGCGUGCCUAAUACAUGCAAGUCGAGCGAACUUUUUCUGGUGCUUGCACUAGAAAAAAUUAGCGGCGCACGGGUGAGUAACACGUAAAGAACCUGCCUCAUAGACUGUGACAACUAUUGGAAACGAUCUCUAAUACCGAAUAACAGUAUUUCUCGAAUGAGAGAUAUUUAAAACUUUUUUAUGCUAACACUAUGAGAUGGCUUUGCGGUGUAUUAUCUAUUUGGUGGGGUAAAGGCCCACCAAGGCGACGAUGCAUAGCCGACCUGAGAGGGUGAUCGGCCACACUGUGACUGAGACACGGCCCAGACUCCUACGGGAGGCAGCAGUAGGGAAUCUUCCGCAAUGGGCGAAAGCCUGACGGAGCAACGCCGCGUGAGUGAAGAAGGAUUUCGGUUCGUAAAGCUCUGUUGUUAGGGAAGAAUGGAUAUGUAGUAACUAUACAUGUAAGUGACGGUACCUAACCAGAAAGCCACGGCUAACUACGUG